AUAAAACCCUCACGACGAGUUUUUAUAUUUCUUAAAAAACGAAUUCUCAGGUUCACAAGUCUUUUCUGUGGUUUUGUUUCCUUCUUUCUCCUUCAAAGCAAAUCUACAAUGGCGGCGGCAACAACAUCUUCUUCUUCGAUCUCCUUCUCCACAAAACCUUGUCAUCCCUCAUCUUCCAAGUCUCCAUUACCCAUUUCCAGAUUCUCCCUUCCAUUUUCCCUAAAUCCCCACAAACCCUCCUCCCGUCGCCGCCGUCCUCUCUCCUGCUCCGCCGUUCUCAACCCACCCGUCAAUGUCUCCUCCGCAGCUCCUUCUCCGGCGAAACCCAUCACUAACCCUAAAUUCGCCUCCCGAUACGCUCCCGACGAGCCUCGCAAGGGCGCCGAUAUCCUCGUGGAAGCCCUCGAGCGUCAAGGCGUCGAUGUCGUCUUCGCAUACCCAGGAGGCGCAUCAAUGGAGAUCCACCAAGCCUUAACUCGAUCCUCCACAAUCCGCAACGUCCUUCCUCGUCACGAGCAAGGAGGAAUCUUCGCCGCCGAGGGCUACGCUCGAUCCUCCGGUAAACCGGGAAUCUGCAUAGCCACUUCCGGUCCCGGAGCAACCAAUCUGGUGAGCGGAUUAGCCGACGCGUUGCUCGACAGUGUCCCUCUCGUCGCGAUCACGGGACAAGUCCCUCGCCGUAUGAUUGGCACCGACGCGUUUCAGGAGACGCCGAUUGUUGAGGUAACGAGGUCGAUUACGAAGCAUAAUUACCUUGUGAUGGAUGUUGAGGAUAUACCUAGGAUCAUUGAGGAAGCUUUCUUUUUAGCUACUUCGGGUCGACCCGGACCCGUUUUAGUUGAUGUUCCUAAAGAUAUCCAGCAACAGCUCGCGAUUCCUAAUUGGGAACAGUCUAUGCGUUUGCCUGGUUACAUGUCUAGGAUGCCUAAACCGCCGGAAAGUUCUCACCUUGAGCAGAUUGUUAGGUUGAUUUCGGAAUCUAAGAGACCGGUUUUGUAUGUUGGUGGUGGGUGUUUGAAUUCGAGUGAGGAAUUGGGUAAAUUCGUCGAGCUUACUGGAAUCCCUGUAGCGAGUACUUUGAUGGGUCUUGGUUCUUAUCCAUGUAACGAUGAGUUGUCGUUGCACAUGCUUGGAAUGCACGGGACUGUGUACGCUAAUUACUCUGUUGAACAUAGUGAUCUGUUGCUUGCUUUUGGUGUUAGGUUUGAUGAUCGUGUCACUGGAAAGCUCGAGGCUUUUGCUAGCAGGGCUAAGAUUGUUCACAUAGAUAUUGACUCGGCUGAGAUUGGGAAGAACAAGACGCCUCAUGUGUCUGUGUGUGGAGAUGUUAAACUCGCUUUGCAAGGGAUGAACAAGGUUCUUGAGAACAGAGCAGAGGAGCUCAAGCUUGAUUUCGGAGUUUGGAGGAGUGAGUUAAACGAACAGAAACAGAAGUUCCCGUUGAGCUUCAAGACGUUCGGUGAAGCUAUUCCUCCACAGUACGCGAUUCAAGUCCUCGACGAGCUAACAGAUGGAAAGGCGAUUAUCAGCACUGGUGUUGGUCAACAUCAAAUGUGGGCUGCGCAGUUUUACAAGUACAGGAAACCAAGACAGUGGCUAUCAUCAGGAGGACUCGGAGCUAUGGGUUUUGGACUUCCUGCUGCGAUUGGAGCCUCCGUUGCGAACCCUGAUGCAAUCGUCGUUGACAUUGAUGGAGAUGGAAGCUUCAUAAUGAACGUGCAAGAGCUGGCCACAGCCCGUGUAGAGAAUCUUCCAGUGAAGGUGCUUUUGCUAAACAACCAGCAUCUUGGCAUGGUUAUGCAAUGGGAAGAUCGGUUCUACAAAGCUAACAGAGCUCACACGUAUCUCGGGGACCCGGCUAAGGAGAACGAGAUAUUCCCCAACAUGCUGAAGUUUGCAGAAGCUUGCGGAGUUCCUGCUGCGAGAGUGACGAAGAAAGAACACCUCAGAGAGGCUAUUCAGACAAUGUUGGAUACGCCAGGACCGUACUUGUUGGAUGUGAUUUGUCCACACCAAGAACAUGUGUUACCGAUGAUCCCAAGUGGUGGUACUUUCAAUGAUGUCAUAACGGAAGGAGAUGGUCGGACAAAAUACUGAGAACCGAUGAUUAUCAGAACUUUGUUACGGUCUUGUUGCAUAUGGUAAAAGCUUAGUUGCAAUUUCCAAUUUUUUUUUGGUAAUUUGGGAUUCGUAGUUGUUGAACUGCUUUUUGGUUUACCCCAAGACUUACUGUUGCUGUUGUUGUUUCCUUUUUCGUUUAUAUAUAUAAAUAAACCGGUUCGGUUUAGUUGUUGUGAAUUUGCUCUCUUUGGUUACUGCGUAAUAAAAUGGAAACGGUUCGGUUUAGUUGUUGUGAAUGGCUCUCUUUGGUUACUGCAUGAUAAAAUGGAAAUUGAGUAAAUGAAUUUGCAAGUGUUCUUUUUUUUUGUAUGCUCGUACUUAUAAUACUAAUCUGUUUUAGCACUAAACUCGGCCCAUGCCUCUCGAAUAAUGCAAGGAAAUUGCCUUUACCAUUGGGUUUGUUUGGCAUUUUCAGGGAUUAGAUUAGGAUUGUUUGGUAUUUUCAGGGAUUAGAUUAGGAUUUUAGAUUCCCAUAUUUACUCGUAGAAACACAUCACUCGAAAUGUGGACUCGGUUAGUGGCGGAUCUAGACACAAAUUUAGUUGGGGGUAUAAAUAUAUAAACAAGAAAAAAAAAUUAGUUGUAGACAAAAUUUUAUUUUUACCACUAAAUUAAAAUAUUUAAUUAAAUUUACCUACAUAAUUAAAAAAAAAAUAAAAAAGAGUAAGGGCACAUGACCGCCUCUUAAUUCACUACCUCCGCCCCUGGACUCGGUGACAUCGUUCUUUUGUUUUGUUGUAAUCAUGGAUCAGACUCAGAUAAUUACUUAUUUGUGAAAUUGGCAAUUUUCUUUAUUUAAAUCUUAAUCUAAUCCCUAAAAAUGCCAAACAAACCCAAUGGUAAGGGCAAUUUCCUUGCAAUAUUCGAGAGGCAUGGGAUUUUAAUAAAGAAAAUUGUCAGUUUCACAAAUAAGUAAUUAUCUGAGUCUAACCCAUGACUACAACAAAACAAAAAAACGAUGUCACCGAGUCCAUAUUUCGAGUGAUGUGUUUCUACGAGUAAAUAUGGGAAUCUAAAAUCUAGCUUGAUUAUCAAAAGACAACACUCGUAGAAAGAUGCUGGUUGUAACCAAAGACCUCACUCGAGAAAGAUGAUAACUUUUAUUUUGUCAUUGGUUCGAUUUUAAUUCUUUUUUUUUUAAAAAAAUAAUAUAUAUUUAAUUUAAAAGAUGAUAACCAAAGACAAAAUAAAAGUUACGUUUUUCUGAUUUUGUCAUUUAGAAAAAGUAAUCUGGACGACAAAAUAAAAGUUACAUUUUGAAGUAAAUCGCCACAAAAUCCAAUAUAUAAAAAUCUUAAGCAUCAGCAAAAAAAGAAGCUAAAGUCAUAGAAAACUCUUAUAAAUUUUGUCAGAAUUUAUGAAAAUAUACUGAAUUGGGUAUUAUAUGGAUCUUUCUGAUUUAGGAUUCACAUGAUCCAAAAAAGUAUUUGUAAUCUGGUUGAUAUAAAUUGUCAAAUGAACAAACUACUAACUGCAUAAAUCUAAUUUGUAAUCAAAAUUACAUACUAAUAUUCUAUACGAAAAACUGAUUACAAAUAAUAAAAGAAAGUAAAUCCAAAUUAAAUAGAGAAAAAAAAUCAUAAUACUUAUGUUACAUAUUUUCAAUGUUACAUGUAAGAUCAGGAUCAACCUUUAUUCCUAGUACGUUCAUUAGAAAAAGUGUAUACUGUAGCAACCACUCAUAUUAAUAAAAUAUAUAGUCAAUGACUCAAUCUUCAAUUUUGUAAUCGGUGAAUUGUUGUAAGAGUGAGACUCUUGACCGAGCCAUCAUCUGGUAUACCACUCAUUAAAACUUUUUAAUUUCCUAUCUCUUUCAUUCAUCUCUUAUCUCUCUCAGUAUGUAAAAAGACUAAAUUGCCAUUUCUUAAACAUUUUUUUUAUAAAAAUUAAUUAAAAAAUAGAAAAAGUGUUUUUCUGAACCCAGUUUUUAAAAUUGGAUCCGACCAAUUUGGGCAUUCUUUCUUUCUCUCUCUCCUCUACUAGAGCUCCUUUUCUCCUCGUCUUGCUUGGGUUCUCUCUCUGAUCCGCUAUCACCACCAAUGUCGGGGAGAUUGAGCUCCGGAAAUUGACCCCACACUGCCUCCAUCGCCGUCUGUUUCUUCCACCAUUGCUGUUUUUUCCUCUGUUGAGCUGUCCUUACUGGCAAGUUCCCCAAAUUUUUUAUAUUGAAUUGGGCAUUUGUUGAGCUCAUUUUAGUAUGCAUAUUGAGGGUUUAAGCUUUAAUUCUGGAUUGACUAGGACUUCAUUUUAGUUACAUAACUAGAUGAUGGCCCGAAUCAUAGUGCAUGUUAAGUAAUUGGUGAGAACAUCCGACUCUUACAAAAGGAGAAUUUGGUAUAACUAUCAUUACUGAGAAAUAUAGUAUAACUAGUAAAACUGGUAUUACUUGAAGUCGAGAUUUAUUGAGUAAAACUUGGUGCAACUAGUAUUACUAUGUAUAAUGAAGGUAUAACUCUGGAUUACUAGUAUUACUGAUGAAGUGUUUUGUAUUGUUUUGACAGAUACAAUGACCAAAACUGUCAGCAUUCAUUUUAAAUGCCAAUGUCAAAUGUAUAGUUUACUGUUGAAGACACCUAUGAGAGAGAUAACUCUGUCAAUGAUAAAAGAUAGGAUAUAAAAAAGCUUGCUUUAGAUGAAAGUAAGAUAAAAUUGGAAAUGAGUUACAUUCCACUGCUGGUUGGAGGAGGUGAGGAACGGUUUACUAUUUCUGAUGAUGAGAAUCUAUGUGUUUUUUUAACAUCUGUUGAUAAAGACAAUCAAAGAUGUAUUUUGUAUGUGGAGGCUAUGAAUAUUUUAGAAUAGCCUGAGCAAGUGGUGAGAGAGGAAAAUAUUGUUGAAGAUGAAAUUGGAGCUAUGCCAUUACUCUGUACGUACCCAACAAACAAGCAAACGUUAUGGAUGAGGGUACUGAUGCUGAAUGUGUGGAUGUGGGUACUGAUGAUGGCCCUGAUAGAUCAGUUAUGCAUGAGCCUCCACCUCUGUUAGAAUGCAGUCAGCAUUUAGAGUCAUGGGAAGAUGGUUUGGGUGUGAGUCAGUUUCAGGAAUUUCCAAAUAAACAGGUAGUGCAAGAGUUUUUGGAUAGAGGAGCAUUUCUGAAGUCUUUUGGUUAUGGUAUAAAGUGGUCGGAUAAGACUCGUUACGUGGUCAAAUGUUCUCAAGAAAGGUGUAAAUGGGGUUAACGAGCUGCAAGAAUCCCAUGGACAUAUAUUUUCUCAGUUAGAACGUACACAAAGAUGCAUUCAUGCUCUUGAGCAAGUCAGAGUACAAGUAACUCUAAGAGAAAAGGCAAUCCAAUCACUUUUGCAUUAUGAUUAUUCAGGUCAGAUGGUAACUACAAGUACUGCAAAAAUCAUGGAGCGUGUUAAGAAGAUUUUUGGUGUUAAAUCAUACUCUACAGCAUUGAGAGGGAAAAAACUUGUUGUUAGUGAUUUGCGUGGUAGUCCGGAAGAAAGCUACAAGAUGCUGUAUUGUUAUUUGUACAUGUUACAGCAAGUAAAUUCUGGUACAAUAACAAAUGUAAAUUUGAUGAGAAAGGAAAAUUCAAAUACCUAUUCAUAGCUUUGGGAGCUAGCAUAGAAGGGUUUCAAGUCAUGAGGAAAGUGAUAAUCGUGGAUGCAACUUUCAUCAAAAACGGAUAUGGUGGUGUUCUUGUUUUUGCAACAACACAAGAUCCUAGUCGCCAUCAUUUUCCCAUCGCGUUUGGUGUUCUAGAUGGACCUGGUUUUUUGAUAUGCUGAAGACCGUUGUUGCAGACUCUUCUGAAUUGGUAUUUAUGAGUGACAGAAAUACAAGCCUCAUCAACUCCAUAGCUAAUGUUUAUCCAUAGGCACAUCAUGGGUAUUGUGUAUGGCAUUUGGGCCAAAAUGGGAAAGGACAUACUAGCAUUGUCAACAAAGAUGUAGUCGCAUGAAGAUUCAUGGAAUGUAGUAGACAGUAUACGAUGGCUGAGUUCAACGGUGAGUAUAUGUCUUUUAAGACAAGAUAUCCUUCCGCAGCCAAAUAUGUGGAGGAGAGUGCUGUAAAAGAGAAAUGGGCACGGUGUUAUUUUCCAGGUGACAGAUACAACAUAGACACAAGCAAAACUGUAGAGUCUUUAAACAAUGUUUCUGAAAACACAAGAAAGUACUCUCUAAUACCCAUGUUCGAUGCGGUUAUUAAAGUGUUUGCUGAUUAGUUUAAUCAACAUCGCAAAGAGGCUGUUUCUGGAUCAUGGAUCAAUUGAUAAUAAAUUGGUGCUUUUAGUGGAGAACUACCUACAUGAUUUAUGGAGUGUUGCUGAGAAAUUAACUGUAAUGGAGUUAAACAGUUUCGAGCGUGAAUACAACGUCAUCGGUACUGAUGGAAAGCCUUAUUUGGUGAACUUAUUGAAAAGUUGCAGAUGUGGGUUUUUUAAUUUUGAGAAGUAUCCAUGUGUUCACGUACUAACUGCUUUCAUUGACUUCAAAAAUGAUGCUUCUAGAGGUGAUGAUGCCUUAGAGAUACAUGAAUUGUGUUCAAAAUAUUAUUGGAGGGAUUUUGGCUUAUACCAAAACAAUUUAUUUAGUUCCGAAUAGGUCUCAGUGGAAUAUCCCACCUGAUAUUGAAAAGUUGCAGAUCUUACAUCUAGAUGAAGUGAAAAAGAAGGGAAGAAAGAGAAGUAAAAGAUUUCUGUCGGCUGGAGAACUGCGUCGUCCUAGAACGCAAAAUAAAAGACGACCUAGACAGGGACUCUAAUAGCUGCUAUUUGGAAAUGGUAGAUCUCCAAUAUAAUACUAUUUAUAACUUGUCCUCCAUCCUGUAACUAAAUAAAACUUGUUUUUUUUUUUUAACAUUAUGUACAACAGGUUUGGACAAUAUUUUUUUUCAACAAAAACAUCCAUAACUAUCAGUAAAAAAUGUACAACAUUUCAAAGUUCUUCUAUAAAAUCAUUAAAAAAUUUAGUACAACAAACCCAUAAAGAUAAAAAUUAAAACUAACAAGUAAAUAUUUUUAACUAUAUAAUUAAAAUUAUAUUUUUAAGAAAAACUAAAAUUAAGAAAAAUAUAUAGUAUGGUAUAUCAAACUUCUUCUAUAAAAUCAUUAAAAAAAUUUGUACAACAUUUCCAUAAAGCCAAAAAUCAAAACUAAAAAGUAAAUAUUUAAUUAUAUAAUCAAAAUUAUAUUGUUAAGAUAAAUUAAAAUUAAGACAAAUAGAUAGUAUGUUAUAUUAAAGUUUUUCUUUAAAACCAUUAAAAAAUUUAGUACAACAUAUCCAUAAAACCAAAAAUAAAACUAACAAGCAAAUCUUCAAAUAAUUAAAAUUUUUUUUUUUUUAAAAACAAUGUAUAAUUAGUACAACCGGUACAACUAGGAUGUUAGGAUGUUAUAACAUAAUUUUAAAUAAAUUAAAACCAAAAUUCAUGUGUUCAGAUGUUGGGACGUUAUGACAUAAUUUACACAAUAUUAUAACAUCACCAUUUUUAUUUAAAAAUAUAUUUUAUAUCAUAUAGAGUUGUUAUGACAUAGUUUACACAAUAUAUGUGUUAUACUUUAAAGAUGAGUUAUGAACAUAAUAACCAUCUUAAGAGUAGAAAAUUAGAAAAAUCUUUAUAUUGAAUAUUUAAUUUAAAAAUAUACUUAGAAACAUACUAAUAUGGAGUAUACUAAUCUGUAAAACUAAUAAAGCAAUUAUUAAAGGUGAGUAAUACUAAAUAAAUUAGAAAUCAGCCAAAGUAUAACUAUUUGUAAAUUUCGUACAACUACUAUCUUCCGUAUAACUAUGACUAAUUUUUGGCGCUAAUUUCAAAAAUUUCCCAAAAUUGUUUUGCCCCAUGCUCUAAAUUUUCCAAAAAUUUGCGCCAGCCGCAAAUUUUAUCUACAACUUUUUGUGUCGGGUUAGUGUCUUUAUAUAGGGAAAUCCCAACUCCCCAACCACAUUCACCACUCUCUCUCUCUCUCUCUUCAGAAUCAUUUCUCUUUCUCUUUACAAAAUCCUGAAUCUUUCUAUCUCUUCACAAUCCUUUUUUCUUUUUAGCGAUGGAUCCCAUCUACCGCGAUGAGAAAAAGGCGAAGCAGUAUUACGACAGGCUUUAUCAUGUUGCUGAUGGAGACUUGGGCAUUCCGCAACUAUGUCCCUGUGGUGAAAGAAUCAUCAAGGGACAAGAACCCUUUCAUGGAACCAGUGAAGACACAUUACCAAGAGGGAGAUACUUUACAUGCUUUGUGUGGCAGGUAAACUUUGUAAAUUUCUGGGUUUAUGAAUUUUUUUAUUGUUAUACUUUUUGAAUUUCUGGGUUUAUGAAUUAGUAUUAUUGUUGGACUCUUUGAAUUUCUGGGUUUUCAUCAUUCGGUUUGUGCAGAAUGAUGGCUUACAUUAUCGGAAAAAAUGGGUGUAUGCUCUUGAAGAAGAGGUUCUCAAGUUGAGGAAUGAAGUUGAAGGGCAGUGCAAGAAGAUUAGAAGCAAACCAUGAAUUCCUCAUCAAGCAAAUGCGUGAAGAACUGAAGACCAAUUCUGAGGAGAUCGUAAAUCUGAAGGAGAUUUGGCAGGUGUUGGCAAGAUUUAUGCUUAUGGGAAACCAAAUGUUUAGCUAAGAUUUGUCAGGGGUCUUUGUUAAACCUAUGAAUUUGUUUAAAGUGAUAUGUUUUAUGCAUUUGUUUUCUAAUGUAAGCCCUCCCUUUUUCAAUCAAUAUGUUCUAUGUAUUUCUAAUUAAAAACAUAUUGUUACUGCUUAGUUUGACAUAGUUUUUCAUAGUAUUACUACUUAGUUUGACAUAGUUAUUUGUAGUAAUACUAAUAUGAAUCCAAAUACAAAAGCAAUUUAGUUUAACGUAGUUUUACCAGUAAUACAAAUCCUAACACAAAAGCAAGUUUCUUAAACAUAGUUAUACUAGUAAUACGAAUCCAAACACAAAAAUAACUUAGUUGUACCUAGUUUUACAGGAAUUCAAAUUCAAAGCAACUUUGAAAAGCAUAGUUAAACAUAGUUUUACUCCAAGCCCCAACUCUUCAUUUCGUCUUGUCUCCUCGCCUACGCUUUCUCCCAGCGGCCUGCAAUCAAACAUAGAUUGAUAACAACAUCAUGUUUAAUAACACAAAACUCAUGGUUUGGGAAGUAAAAUAUGGUUAUCUUUGAUGUCUCUCCUUUCACAUUCACAAAAGAUUCCAACAGUUCAACUCUUCCCACCAACUCAUCAAUCUUAUCCUUGAUAACAUUCAUCUUUUCUCCCAUUUCUGUUUUCAGAGUGUUUAUGAGCUCUGCCACUUCAUUUACAGGCGUGUUUCCACGUAAUUCACUGGGGACAUUCUCGAGUAUGGGUCCUAGUCGUGAAGCAACAUCUUCAUUAUUCAUCUCUGCAAUCCAUAUGGUAUAUCCUUCAUGAAGACGCUGCAUCCAACUGUUGACAACAAUAUCAUGUUUAUCAUCAUCGUCGUCUUCUUCUUCGGUGAGUCUAGCCAGAAGAUCAUUUUCUUAUGGAGUAGCUACCACCAAGCUUUCAAUAUCCUGAAAAUGUAAACAAUUAAUUCUAAACAUUAACAACAUAACAAACAUAUGCAAAGGAUAACUAACCUUGAUUGCACCAAGUUUUUCAUAUAUUUUCGAAAGAGGAAAUCCUUUCAAUUUUAUUUUCUUAAACUUUGACCUGUACAUCCUAAGACAACCCAUAUUUGCACUGGAAAUUCUUCUUGGAAAAUACUCCAUAGUUCUAGAAUUGCCUCGAAUGCCAAAAGCUACACAACACAUAUAUAGUUAAAGUUAUCUUCAAUUAUAAUAGAUAAUACAAAUCUCAAAUGGAUCAAAUACGUCAAAUUAAUUUGUACUUACCUCUAAAGGAAUACAAAAACCUGGAAUCGGCCAGGUUACACCUUCUUUGAUUACACCCCCAAAAUGAGUUAUCGUGUGCAAUAUCUCCUUCACCAUAUAGUCAUAUAACAAUCUCCCCCAAGGAAAGCUCUUACAUAACUUGAGAUCAUCCACCACAAUUCGAAAGAAUUCCAAAACGGGCGUAGCAUCUACUCCAGUCUUUGUCUGCCCUACGACAAUGCUGGAUAAGAAGAACAAGACCAAUAUCUUCAACCUAUCUACGACAAUGAGACACUAUUGCUCUUUUCCCAAAAUGCUUGUUCACAAAUUUCUUAUCCACGACUUUUCUCCCUUGCAUAUAAUCUAGUGGAUUGUUAUGGCAGUCAAAUCCUGAUAUCAAGGCAUGUUCCCUUAGACCAUAGCGGAUAGGAACACCAUUAACAACGAACCAAACUUUUUUUUGCUUUUCGAUGCAUGCUGUUCGAAGCAAGAACAUCCACAUGCCCAUAAGUUUGUGGUUCUUGUCCUUGGGCAUAUGGAAAAUGUGUUUGAACUGCAGAUAUUUCUCAAACCAUCUCAACUCAACACUACUCAGUGGAUGCUUCAACCCGUUUAUUGUAUUCAAGAAUUCAAAGAUAUAACACCUUGUCGAUAUCUUAAUUUUCUUGACAUAUUCCGUUGGUGGGAAGUACAUCCUCAUAGGGCGUAGAGAUGUCGUUUCAUCUUCAGAAUCUUGCAGCAAUAAUUUAGUUCUACCAAGUUAUGCUAGUUUAACAUAUCAAUUUCUCUUAGUCUUCUCUAGUGUUAACUAGUUCUACCAGAAUUACUAAUAAACUCACCAUAGUUUUACCUAGUUCUACCAGAAUUACUAAUAAAUUUACCAUAGUGUUACCUAAUUAUACAUAGUAAAUAUUUAACUAUGUAAUCAAAAUUAUAUUUUUAAGAAAAACUAAAACUAAGACAAAUAAAUAGUAUGAUAUUAUCAAAGUUCUUCUAUAAAAUCAUUAAAAAAAUCUUUACAACAUUUUCAUAAAAUCAAAAAUCAAAACUUACAAGUAAAUAUUUAAUUAUAUAAUCAAAAUUAUAUUUUUAAGAUAAAUUAAAAUUAAGACAAAUAGAUAGUAGUAUGUUAUAUUAAAGUUCUUAUUUAAAACCAUUAAAACAUUUAGUACAACAUAUCCAUAAAGCCAAAAAUUAAAACUAACAAGCAAAUAUUCAAAUAAUCAAAAUUAUUUUAUUUUAAAAAAACAAUGUAUAACUAGUACAAAUGGUGCAACUAGGAUGUUGGGAUGUUAUGACAUAAUUUACACAACAUUAUAACAUCACAAUUUUUAUUUAGUUCUACCAAUAUUACUUCAAAAAUUCACAUAGUUUUAUCUAGUUCUGCCACUACUAAAAUAUAAACUCCGCCUAGUUGUACUUAGUUGUAAUAGUUUUGCUAAUAUAAUCAGAUAUACUUACCAUUGAGACCACAUCCUCGUCCAUGCAUGGCGUAUGAAUUUCCAUGGUCUCCUUCACCCUCUUCUUCAUCCGCAUCCUUCUCUGAUUCUUUGUCUUCUUCUUCGUCUCCUUCGUCUCCUUCUUUGUCUUUCUCUCCUUCUUUGUCUUUCUCUCCUUCUUCGUUUUUCUCUCCUUCCUCUUCUUCGUCAUCUCCUUCAUCCUUGUCUGAUUUCUCACCAUCUCCUCCUUCCUCCUCAUCUUCUUCUUCCUUGUCUGAAUUUUCUAGAUCUCUUCCUUCUUCCUCAACUUCUUCUUCUUUUUCUUACUUAUCUAGGUCUUCUUUUUCUUCUUCACUUAUCGGAACUUGCUCUUCAAUUUCUUCCUCCGUUCGUGAUGCUUCAACCGUUGGAGGAGGCGGAUCGGAACAGCUCUCGCCCUUGGUUUUUGGAGCCCCAAUCCUCUUCUUCUUCUUUGUCCAUCUUGUUCUAGUCAUUUUUCUUGAUCGAUAAUAGUUUUGGGAGGAUUAGAUCUGUAGUUAUCCCAAGUUUGACAAUGAGAGAAUCGAAGAUCGGAAAAUAGAUAAAGAGGAAUCGUUAGGGUUUUGACCGAUUUGGGGGAUUUAGGAGUAUUAAAAAAAAUUAGAAUUUUGGGUCAAGUUUUUCGGGUUACGUCAGAUAUCACUGGACAGGCGGGUUUUACCCAGGUAUAAGUUGUAAUUUUUUUGAAUUAGAAUGUGUUUGUGGGUAAUUUGCCUAUUUUCAAUAUUAAAAAUAAUUACAUUGAAAAUUCCUAAAAAUAGAGAGAGAUAUCGGAGGGGUAAAUUAGAUGAUUUCCCUUCUUAGCCUCUUUCAGACAUUAAAAGUAAGACUCUCAUCACUUUCUCUUCAGUUUACUUUUGGCCCAUUUAUAUACACAAUAAAAUCUCUUGACUUGCGAUCUUCUUUUCCUUCUUUCACUUUCUCUUUUUACAGUUUUCUUUUUGUCAAUGAACAACUAAUAUUUAAAAAAUCAUAGGUAUACUCUGUCGACUGACUUGAGCCAUCUAUAUAGUACUCUAUAUACUAUCUUUUGAAAUUUUCGACAUUGUAGUAGUAGUCAAUGUGGUAAUAAUGGGUCUUGAAUUAUAUCUGCAUAGGUGGUUAGGUUUCUUGAAAGAUAUACAUUGAAUCAACGGUUCUGUCCAUUGCUUAAUAGUUCCUUGACUAGACCAAAUUCUUGGUUCAUUCUUUUAAGGAUUUGUAUUGUAAUCAUACUUGUGGAUUAGAUAGAAGUUGGUGCCAUAUAGUAGACUGGGGAAUUUAGGAAGAUUUUUAGCUUUACUUGUCUCCAUGGUUUCUUUCUGCCAUCGCCACGCUUCUGUCUCCUUAGUUUCUUAGUCCCUCUAUUUGUCCCAUAGAGUUUCGUUUUGUUCUGAAUCAUUUCUUUAAUGCAAGAAAUUAUACUAAAUGUUUUUAAAUUGUUUGCUUACCUUGCGACAGGCAAUGCGCCAAGAAGUAGGAGAAUAAGAAGUAAAAAGACUGCAAAAGCUGUUGCGGAACUUCCAUGUCUUACUAUGUUUUGGCGGCCAAUUUUUUUCCUCCCUCAUUUGAUUUUUCACUUUCAUGUUAUUCCCUAAAAACUUGAUAAGUUUUGAUUAUUUUUGAAUUUAUGUAUGCAAAGUAUAUUGUCCUCAAGAAUUAAGCUAUUUAAGAUCUAAAUCCGAGAUGAAGCGCAAGACAUUCAAAACUAGGUUUAGUGUGCUAUUAGUAAUAUUCCUCAAACCCAACUUGCAGCUUUAAUUCGGAUCUCGCAAUCAAAGAAAUCCCAACUUGUGUUUAUUAAAAACGAAAUAAAUAAUAAGAAAACUUCUGAUAAAAUUCCUCAUCCACAAAUCCUACAUUUAGGCUUUGAUGUUGAUAUAUUAGGCUCAAUCACAAGUCGAGAGAGACGAGAUUAGAUUUGUGAAUCUCACGUCAGUUCCUCAUCUAUAUAAGUAACUAAAGACAAAGAAAAGAAAACCAAACCCCAAGGGUAUUUUCGUAAUCACAGAAUAAAACCCUCACAACGAGUAUUUAUAUUUUAAAAAAAGAAUUCUCAGGUGGGAAUUCUUCUCAGGUUCAAAAGUCUCUCUGUGGUUUUGUUUCCUCUUUCUCCUUCAAAGUAAAAACUACAAUGGCAGCGGCAACAACAACAUCUUCUUCGAUCUCCUUCUCCAAAAAACCUUGUCAUCUCUCAUCUUUCAAAUCUCCAUUACCCAUUUCCAGAUUCUGCCUUCCAUUUUCCCUAAAUCCCCACAAACCCUCCUCCCGUCGCCGCCGUCCUCUCUCCUGCUCCGCCGUUCUCAACCCACCCGUCAAUGUCUCCUCCGCAUCUACUUAUCCGGCGAAACCCAUCACUAACCCUAAAUUCGCCUCCCGAUACGCUCCCGACGAGCCUCGCAAGGGCGCCGAUAUCCUCGUGGAAGCCCUCGAGCGUCAAGGCGUCGAUGUCGUCUUCGCAUACCCAGGAGGCGCAUCAAUGGAGAUCCACCAAGCCUUAACUCAAUCCUCCACAAUCCG
rnacentral:lncRNA from 1 species